UACAGAGACUGCAAGCGUUAUUCGGAUUCACUGGGCGUAAAGGGUGCGUAGGCGGGUCUUUAAGUCAGGGGUGAAAUCCUGGAGCUCAACUCCAGAACUGCCUUUGAUACUGAAGAUCUUGAGUUCGGGAGAGGUGAGUGGAACUGCGAGUGUAGAGGUGAAAUUCGUAGAUAUUCGCAAGAACACCAGUGGCGAAGGCGGCUCACUGGCCCGAUACUGACGCUGAGGCGCGAAAGCUAGGGGAGCAAACAGG
rnacentral:rRNA from 1 species